AUUGAACGCUGGCGGCAGGCCUAACACAUGCAAGUCGAGCGGAUGAAGGGAGCUUGCUCCUGGAUUCAGCGGCGGACGGGUGAGUAAUGCCUAGGAAUCUGCCUGGUAGUGGGGGAUAACGUCCGUAAACGGGCGCUAAUACCGCAUACGUCCUGAGGGAGAAAGUGGGGGAUCUUCGGACCUCACGCUAUCAGAUGAGCCUAGGUCGGAUUAGCUAGUUGGUGGGGUAAAGGCCUACCAAGGCGACGAUCCGUAACUGGUCUGAGAGGAUGAUCAGUCACACUGGAACUGAGACACGGUCCAGACUCCUACGGGAGGCAGCAGUGGGGAAUAUUGGACAAUGGGCGAAAGCCUGAUCCAACCAUGCCGCGUGUGUGAAAAAGGUCUUCGGAUUGUAAAGCACUUUAAGUUGGGAGGAAGGGCAGUGAGUUAAUACCGUGCUGUUUUGACGUUACCGACAGAAUAAGCACCGGCUAACUUCGUG
rnacentral:rRNA from 1 species